rnacentral:rRNA from 1 species
CCGGCAAGGAGCUCUCACCACGAGAUGAGUCCGCGUCCCAUCAGCUAGUUGGCGGUGUAAUGGACACCAAGGCUUAGACGGGUAGCUGGUCUGAGAGGAUGACCAGCCACACUGGGACUGAGACACGGCCCAGACUCCUACGGGAGGCAGCAGUGGGGAAUAUUGGACAAUGGGCAAAAGCCUGACGCAGCGACGCCGCGUGGGUGACGAAGGCCUUCGGGUUGUAAAGCCCUGUGGGGUAGAACGAACUGGCAUCGGGCUAAUAUCCCGGUGUCUUGACGGUACUGCCUUAGCAAGCAUCGGCUAACUCUGUGCCAGCAGCCGCGGUAAGACAGAGGAUGCGAACGUUGCUCGGAUUUACUGGGCGUAAAGCGCGUGUAGGCGGUCUCGUUAGUCGGGUGUGAAAGCCCCGGGCUCAACCCGGGAAGUGCACCCGAUACUGCGAGACUGGGGUACUGAAGAGGAGAGCGGAAUUCCCGGUGUAGAGGUGAAAUUCGUAGAUAUCGGGAGGAACACCAGUGGC